UACAGAGGGUGCGAGCGUUGUUCGGAAUCAUUGGGCGUAAAGCGCUUGUAGGCGGCCUGCCAAGUCGCGUGUGAAAUCCCCUGGCUCAACCAGGGAAGUGCGCGCGAAACUGGCGGGCUUGGAGUGCCGGAGAGGGUCGCGGAAUUCCCGGUGUAGAGGUGAAAUUCGUAGAUAUCGGGAGGAACACCAGUGGCGAAGGCGGCGACCUGGACGGACACUGACGCUGAGACGCGAAAGCGUGGGGAUCAAACAGG
rnacentral:rRNA from 1 species